AGCGUAGACGGCAAGGCAAGUCUGAUGUGAAAACCCAGGGCUUAACCCUGGGACUGCAUUGGAAACUGUCUGGCUCGAGUGCCAGAGAGGUAAGCGGAAUUCCUAGUGUAGCGGUGAAAUGCGUAGAUAUUAGGAAGAACACCAGUGGCGAAGGCGGCUUACUGGACGGUAACUGACGUUGAGGCUCGAAAGCGUGGGGAGCAAACA
rnacentral:rRNA from 1 species